rnacentral:lncRNA from 1 species
CAGGUUUUGCAUGGACAAGCCAUCAUCUUUGUCUUCUUGACCACUGCAUUAUUCUCUAAAACUUUCAUGAAUUUGUUAAGUUCUCCACGGAAAUAAGCGUCCAUUCUUCGUGCUUGGCACAUCCAUGUCCUAUCCAUCUAUCUUAAUAGCAAAAAAAUUACACAAAAUCAAAAUUUCAUCCAUGUCAACUUGUUUUAUCCUAAUAAAAACAAUAUAUAUAUAAUUACACACAUGUACUAUUUCGUAAUGAAAAUAUCAUCCAUGUCAACUUGAUUAAAACUAUCAUAAAUGUUAAACAAACAAGUACUAAAUAUAUAAUUACACAUGUAGUAUUUCCUAAUAAAUAAAUGAAAAUAUAGAAAUCUUGGAAAAAAAUGAAAAACAAUUAGUCAUCAUCCAUGUCAACUUGUUUUAUCCCACAAAAUCUCGGAAAAAAUGAAAAUUAUAUCAUGCAUGUGUCAAUAUAGAAAAAAUCACAUCUUCUUCUCUCUCCUC